ACGAACGCUGGCGGCGUGCCUAAUACAUGCACGUCGAACGAACCGCGACUAAGUGCUUGCACUAAGUCAAGGUGAGUGGCGAACGGGUGAGUAACACGUGGGUAACCUACCUCAUAGUGGGGGAUAACAGUCGGAAACGACUGCUAAUACCGCAUAGGACAUAGGAUCACAUGAUCCAGUGAGGAAAGGUGGCGCAAGCUAUCGCUAAGAGAUGGACCCGCGGUGCAUUAGCUAGUUGGUAGGGUAAAGGCCUACCAAGGCGAUGAUGCAUAGCCGACCUGAGAGGGUGAUCGGCCACAUUGGGACUGAGACACGGCCCAAACUCCUACGGGAGGCAGCAGUAGGGAAUCUUCCGCAAUGGACGCAAGUCUGACGGAGCAACGCCGCGUGAGUGAAGAAGGUCUUCGGAUCGUAAAGCGCUGUUGUUAGAGAAGAACAGCGCAUAGAGUAACUGCUAUGCGUGUGACGGUAUCUAACCAGAAAGCCACGGCUAACUACGU
rnacentral:rRNA from 1 species